rnacentral:rRNA from 1 species
AUUGAACGCUGGCGGCAUGCCUUACACAUGCAAGUCGAACGGUAACAGGUCUUCGGAUGCUGACGAGUGGCGAACGGGUGAGUAAUACAUCGGAACGUGCCCAGUCGUGGGGGAUAACGAAGCGAAAGCUUUGCUAAUACCGCAUACGAUCUACGGAUGAAAGCGGGGGAUCGCAAGACCUCGCGCGAUUGGAGCGGCCGAUGGCAGAUUAGGUAGUUGGUGGGGUAAAGGCUUACCAAGCCUACGAUCUGUAGCUGGUCUGAGAGGACGACCAGCAACACUGGGACUGAGACACGGCCCAGACUCCUACGGGAGGCAGCAGUGGGGAAUUUUGGACAAUGGGCGCAAGCCUGAUCCAGCAAUGCCGCGUGCAGGAUGAAGGCCUUCGGGUUGUAAACUGCUUUUGUACGGAACGAAAAGCUCUGGGUUAAUACCCUGGGGUCAUGACGGUACCGUAAGAAUAAGCACCGGCUAACUACGUGCCAGCCGCCGCUGUAAUAC